rnacentral:rRNA from 1 species
UGGGGAAUAUUGGACAAUGGGUGAGAGCCUGAUCCAGCCAUGCCGCGUGCAGGAAGAAGGCGUUAUGCGUUGUAAACUGCUUUUUGCCAGGGGAUAAAAAGACCGUGCGCGGUUAAUUGAAGGUACCUGGUGAAUAAGCCACGGCUAACUACGUGCCAGCAGCCGCGGUAAUACGUAGGUGGCAAGCGUUGUCCGGAUUUAUUGGGUUUAAAGGGUGCGUAGGUGGCCCUGUAAGUCAGUGGUGAAAUAUCUCAGCUUAACUGAGAGGGUGCCAUUGAUACUGCAGGGCUUGAGUACAGAUGAGGUAGGCGGAAUUGACGGUGUAGCGGUGAAAUGCAUAGAUAUCGUCAAGAACACCGAUAGCGAAGGCAGCUUACCAAGCUGUAACUGACACUGAGGCACGAAAGUGUGGGGAUCAAACAGGAUUAGAUACCCUCGUAGUCCCUGAGCGGGCUGGCAAGGCGCAU